rnacentral:rRNA from 1 species
AUUGAACGCUGGCGGCAGGCCUAACACAUGCAAGUCGAACGAGUGGCGGACGGGUGAGUAAUGUCUGGGAAACUGCCUGAUGGAGGGGGAUAACUACUGGAAACGGUAGCUAAUACCGCAUACCAUCGGAUGUGCCCAGAUGGGAUUAGCUAGUAGGUGGGGUAACGGCUCACCUAGGCGACGAUCCCUAGCGGGUCUGAGAGGAGGACCGGCCAAACGGGAACUGAGACACGUUCCAAACUCCUACGGGAGGCAGCAGUGGGGAAUAUUGGACAAGGGGCGCAAGCCUGAUGCAGCCAGGCGGGGUGGAGGAAGAGGGCCUUCGGGUUGUAAAGUACUUUCAGCGGGGAGGCGUUACCCGCAGAAGAAGCACCGGCUAACUCCGUGCCAGCAGCCGCGGUAAUAC